UACGUAGGGUGCAAGCGUUGUCCGGAAUUAUUGGGCGUAAAGAGCUCGUAGGCGGUUUGUCGCGUCUGCUGUGAAAACCCGAGGCUCAACCUCGGGCCUGCAGUGGGUACGGGCAGACUAGAGUGCGGUAGGGGAGAAUGGAAUUCCUGGUGUAGCGGUGGAAUGCGCAGAUAUCAGGAGGAACACCGAUGGCGAAGGCGGGACUCUGGGCCGAUACUGACGCUGAGGAGCGAAAGCGUGGGGAGCAAACAGG
rnacentral:rRNA from 1 species